rnacentral:rRNA from 1 species
GACAGAGGCCUCAAGCGUUAGGCGGAAUCACUGGGCUUAAAGCGUGUGUAGGCGGAUCGUUAAGUGUCUUGUGAAAUCCCACGGCUCACCCGUGGAACUGCCUUAGAUACUGACGGCCUCGAGGGAGAUAGGGGCGAGCGGAACUGUGAGUGGAGCGGUGAAAUGCGUUGAUAUUCACAGGAACUCCGGUGGCGAAGGCGGCUCGCUGGAUCUUUUCUGACGCUGAGGCGCGAAAGCUAGGGGAGCAAACGGG